GGAGUGAGCGGCGGACGGGUUAGUAACGCGUGGGAACGUACCCAGAUCUAAGGAAUAGCCACUGGAAACGGUGAGUAAUACCUUAUACGCCCUUCGGGGGAAAGAUUUAUCGGAUUUGGAUCGGCCCGCGUUAGAUUAGAUAGUUGGUGGGGUAACGGCCUACCAAGUCUACGAUCUAUAGCUGGUUUUAGAGGAUGAUCAGCAACACUGGGACUGAGACACGGCCCAGACUCCUACGGGAGGCAGCAGUGGGGAAUCUUGGACAAUGGGCGCAAGCCUGAUCCAGCCAUGCCGCGUGAGUGAUGAAGGCCUUAGGGUCGUAAAGCUCUUUCGCCAGGGAUGAUAAUGACAGUACCUGGUAAAGAAACCCCGGCUAACUCCGUGCCAGCAGCCGCGGUAAUACGGAGGGGGUUAGCGUUGUUCGGAAUUACUGGGCGUAAAGCGCGCGUAGGCGGGUUGUUAAGUUAGAGGUGAAAUCCCGGGGCUCAACCCCGGAACUGCCUUUAAUACUGGCAACCUAGAGUUCGAGAGAGGUGAGUGGAAUUCCGAGUGUAGAGGUGAAAUUCGUAGAUAUUCGGAGGAACACCAGUGGCGAAGGCGGCUCACUGGCUCGAUACUGACGCUGAGGUGCGAAAGUGUGGGGAGCAAACAGGAUUAGAUACCCUGGUAGUCCACACCGUAAACGAUGAAUGCCAGUCGUCGGGUAGCAUGCUAUUCGGUGACA
rnacentral:rRNA from 1 species